rnacentral:rRNA from 1 species
GAUGAACGCUAGCUACAGGCUUAACACAUGCAAGUCGAGGGGUAACGAGAGGAAAGCUUGCUUUCCUUGUCGACGACCGGCGCACGGGUGAGUAACGCGUAUCCAACCUGCCCCCAACUAGGGAAUAACCUUGCGAAAGUAAGACUAAUACCCUAUAAUUUCCUCAGAUGUCAUCUGACGAGGAAUAAAGAUUUAUCGGUUGUGGAUGGGGAUGCGUCUGAUUAGCUUGUUGGCGGGGUAACGGCCCACCAAGGCAACGAUCAGUAGGGGUUCUGAGAGGAAGGUCCCCCACAUUGGAACUGAGACACGGUCCAAACUCCUACGGGAGGCAGCAGUGAGGAAUAUUGGUCAAUGGGCGGAAGCCUGAACCAGCCAAGUAGCGUGCAGGGUGACGGCCCUAUGGGUUGUAAACUGCUUUUAUACAGGAAUAAAGUUAGCCACGUGUGGUUAUUUGUAGGUACUGUAUGAAUAAGGACCGGCUAAUUCCGUGCCAGCAGCCGCCGUAA